UCCAUAUGUGUUCAUAUGUCACCAAGACAAUGUGUAGAGUUAGAUUGAGUAGUCAGAUCAUAGAAUUAUGGUUUGACACUCUUUGACAUGAAAGUCAUUCUGUGCAUCAGGUAUUAUUAUAGCUUAACCUGAACAAAUGUCCUUUGCUUUCACUCUUUUAAUUGCUCAUGUAUAUAUUAAACUAAUUGCUAGGAGCAUGGGAUGUUAAAAAACUAACAACAAUGGACACUAGGGACAGCAUAUCUAUUGUGUUCAGCCAGAGGAAAAAUUAAUUUACUUAUGGAGUUUUAAUCUAGCCACAAGCUAAUGGAAGCUUAUAAGAUUUGUCAAAUGCAAUUGAGACAAUAUGCCUAUUGUUUCCAGCUGGUGGAACAAUUGAUUAUAAUUGCAAGCUGAUGAGCAGAGGAGGAAUGUAUAUACUUACUAUUGAGAGAGCAAUCUUCAAGGACAGGAAGCUGGGGUUGGGCUGAUAAUCAGAGUUGCACGGGGACUACUUAUAGCUGUGAUGAGUAAGAGAAUUUUGUGUAUGAAUCCAACGAAAUCGAGGUGAUUGUUGCUGACUGCUGACAGAGUGCUGAGUUUUGCAGACUAUCAAAUAUAUGAAGGUACAUAUGAUCUGUUUGCGUCUGGGAAAAUAAUCAACUUGAUUCAACUGAUGGCAAGGCACGGGGUACAACAUAUCUAUUGUGUUUAGCUGGAGGAAAAAUUUAUUCAUGGAGCUUUAAUACACUGCUAAGAAAACGGAAGAGAAGAAUAUCCGUCACUGCCCCAAAUUAAAGGAAAUAUGUGCCAAGGGGAGCGGUGCAGAGUGGGUGGUCUAGGAUUUCCCUCCCACAUUCCAAAUAUCAUUUUUUGUUGAAUUUAUCAAAGAAGAAGCAGUUUGAAGAUCGUAUACAUUUUUAAGAUGGAUGACCGGAUACUUCACACACCACCCAUUUUGGAGCCUAAUCUUCUUUUGGCUGUCAGAGCUGUUUGGCCAGCUUUGACACCUAUAUGUGCUUAGUUGGAGGCAUUAAAUUCUGACGAUGUUGGAGCCUCUGCAUAUGUUCUGUGGUAACUUUUCGUCUUUGUAAGAACUGAAGUUCUGGAACAAGAACUGCUACUACCUACCAACAAUGCAGGAGGUGCUCUCACUUUCUAUGGAAAGCUAAAUGGAAGAUUCCUGGAGUGGUUGUCAAAGCUGGAUGCUUUGUUUCUUACUGUUUGCUAGAGUUCCAUUGGUAGAAGAUUGGUCAUAUUCCAAGAAUCACAGUGGGGAAAUUUAAAUUGGUUCCAAUGCAAUUGACUUAGUGAAAUUUGUACUGGCAUAUCUGAUGUGUUCAGCUGGAGGAAACAUUUAUUCAUGGAGCUUUUAACCCACCCUGAAUCCAACCGAAGAGCUAAAUAUCCUUUCAUUGCUCCAAAUUAAUUGAAAGAUGUGUGCAAAAGCAUGUGGUGCAGAGUGGUCUAGGAUUUCCCACAUUCCAAAUAUCUAUUUUAAUGAAUGUAUUAAACAAGAAGCUGUCUGAAGAUCAUGUACAUUAUUAAGAUGGAUGACCAUAAGUGGAAUGCCACCUAUUGCUCUUACAUGAUCUGCACAUUUGCAAGAAGCCGCAAUAUCUACUUAUGGUGUAAUUGGGUCAUUGCAAUAUCUACUUAUGGUGUAAGUGGCUUAUUGCGUUACUAAAUUACAAAUACCUAUGAUCUUUCAUUGUCCCAAUUAGAGGCCAUGUAGUUUAGCACAAAAGGUUCUAAGAUUGCCCAUGUUCCUGUGAUUAAGAAAAACCUUUGAUACAUUCGACAUUCCUAUUCUAAGCUUGAAGCCAUUUAUAAUUUCUAUGUUCUCUCCUGUUUGCUGUGAAGUUGACUCACUGUUCAUGAUUUGUUCUAUAUAUAUAUAUUACCAUAUUCUUGGGUUAACGAUGUCCAAAUAGUUUUAUGUCAAACCAUUAAUUCAUACUUAUGUAACAUAUAUUUAUUGCAUAAUUUUUGUGUAUCUUCAAUUUUUAGCUCUAUUUCAUUGUAAUUAUUCCUCGAUGGUUGGAUAUCUUUUAGCACAUCAAAUAUUUUUUAGAAAUUAAGAGCCCCUUAUGUUUUCAUAUUCUUUAUUAAUAUUUAACUGUGAUUUCUGUAAGCCAUAGUUUGCAGCACUUGACAAUUCUUUUGAUGUAACUACCACCAGUAAUUAUUGCGUGGGAGUCCUACACUCAACUCUCUCCCGAACGAAAUUCAACUCUUCACUGCCCUUGAAGAGCCGUGGAUAAAGAAAUUUAACAGAAUGAAAGCUUUGCCUAAUUGGUUGGGCAAUCUUUCUUCCCUUCAAAAGCUGUCUCUUCGCUACUGCAACAACCUGAUGUAUCUUCCCAUGUUCCACCUCACCAAAUCAAAACACCUGCACGUUGCUGAUUGCUCCAACUUAGAGAAAAGAUUUGCAGAGGGAAGUGGCGAAGAGUGGUUCCAGAUUUCCCAUAUUCCAAACAUCAAAAUCAAUGGAAAAUACAUCCAAGGGAAGGAUUCUGAGGACUCUAAAUACUUUGACAUCUUUGACGACUCUGACUGAAGAAUUUGACGACUUCGAUGACUAUGAAGAUGAUAGAGAUGAUUAGUAAGUCCUUUGCAGAGGAGCUGUGGUCAAUUUUCAUCAUCUAUUCCAGAACAAGAACUGCUACUACUUAUCAGCAAUGCAGGAGGUGCUCCCUUUCUGUGGAAAGCUAGAUGGAAGUAUCCUAGAAUGGCUGUUGAAGCCAGAUGUUUACUGGUCGCUUUGCAAGAGAUAUGGAAUCAGCAAGGGUGGUCGUUAGUAGAAGAUUGUUCAUAGUACAAGAAUCACAAUGGAGGGAAUUUAAAUGGAUUCCAAUGAAAUUGUUUCAUCGAAAUUGAUGCUUCACAAUUGUUUGGGGCUGGGGUAACUUUUUAUCUCUUCAAGAAUAGAAGUUCAGGAGCAAGAGUGCUACUACCUACCAGCAAAGCAGGUGGCACAAUCACUUUCCAUGGAAAGCUAAAUGAAGAAUUGAAGUUUGAAUUGGUUUCAAAUUUCCAAUCUAAUUGUUUCAUUGAAAUUUACUUUGGUCAUCCUUCAUAUCCCAAUUAGUAUUCAUGCACUUCAGCACAGAGUGGUCCUAGAUUCACCCUAUUCCAAAUAUCCUGGAGAUAAAAGGAGCAACAAAACCAAGAUAUAUUUGAAGGCAUAAAUACACUAUGAAAAUGGCUCUACUUGACUGCAUGCAAAGAAAUUGUGACAAACUAAAAGUCCUAUCAACCCCUCUUUGAAGCUUUUCCAAGGUUCAAAGUGGUUGCCUACCUCCUCAUCUACUACAUUUGGAAAGGAUCUUGACCUAGAAGGAAUGUGUUCAUCAUUACAAGAAAUGAGUUCCCACCAAAUUGAAGAAGGCCAAGAAUUUGAGACAUACUCUCAGCAUGAAGAAACGUAAUCAGGAUGUUAGCACCACACCUUCUUGGGUUGUCGAGUUGGAUGAUGAUGAAGAUGAAGAAGAUCCUGAAUUCUAUGGAGCCCCAGCAUUUGAAUCAAGGCUGACUCCUGAGGGGUACAAGGAAACCACUAGACAUAAUCCAAGAGCAAUGCAUAAGAAUUUCAGGAAGCAUGUUUUGGAAAGCACCGUCAGUCUUACCAUUAAAAAUAAAAAUAGAUGCCUACAAGUCUUAAAAGGACAUUAACUGAAACUGUAACUGAAAAUUUGGCAUCAGCUUUCGUUGCUGUGGUAUCAGAAAUUCAAAGUGCUUUCCACAAAUUUAUUGUCUCUGUUGCUACUGAAAGAGGAAAACAAGAUAAUAGGGGUGAGCAAAUUUGGAUAUAAGGUUGUUUCAGUGAAGGAGUAUCUAAUGCAUAAACUUGAGCCCAGGGAAGAUGUGCUUUCUCCAAUAAUAUCCAAGGCAAUGAGUCCAAAGAGAGCUCUUGGUGAUAUGGGUGCGGUAUGAGGGAUGUUGUGACUUGCUCCAACAUGAAGAAUUGUCCAAAUACACAACUAUGAGUUCAAUUAGAAACCGAACAUUGCCCAUGCCAAUUUCCACCAAUUUGCAUAUAGCUAACACUCAGAUCUCAGCCAAUGCUCAUAAUUUUUUUUUUUUUUUUUUGGUGUCAAUUUUGAUCUUGAAUGUAUAUGGAGACAUCUUAACGAGCUUCAAUUAGUUUUUCACUCCAAUGUACCAAUACUAAAAACCAUCACCAUUAGAAAUGCAUGUUCUGAUGCUAAUUAUUCUUUUGAAGUUCCAUUGUACAGUCUUUUGUAACCAUCGGAUGCAUUUGACAAAUGGUAUGAAAUCACUUGGUCAAAUUUAUGUCAAUAUUAGUUAUCUGAACAAGGCCCUGACCAUGUUAUGGAUUCCAUGUGCUAUGGUGUAAUUUCUCUUUAUGGUAUAUUAUAAUUCAUAUCUCAUGUA